GACGAACGCUGGCGGCGUGCCUAAUACAUGCAAGUCGAACGCUUUUUCUUUCACCGGAGCUUGCUCCACCGAAAGAAAAAGAGUGGCGAACGGGUGAGUAACACGUGGGUAACCUGCCCAUCAGAAGGGGAUAACACUUGGAAACAGGUGCUAAUACCGUAUAACACUAUUUUCCGCAUGGAAGAAAGUUGAAAGGCGCUUUUGCGCCACUGAUGGAUGGACCCGCGGUGCAUUAGCUAGUUGGUGAGGUAACGGCUCACCAAGGCAACGAUGCAUAGCCGACCUGAGAGGGUGAUCGGCCACACUGGGACUGAGACACGGCCCAGACUCCUACGGGAGGCAGCAGUAGGGAAUCUUCGGCAAUGGACGAAAGUCUGACCGAGCAACGCCGCGUGAGUGAAGAAGGUUUUCGGAUCGUAAAACUCUGUUGUUAGAGAAGAACAAGGAUGAGAGUAAAACGUUCAUCCCUUGACGGUACCUAACCAGAAAGCCACGGCUAACUACGUGCCAGCAGCCGCGGUAA
rnacentral:rRNA from 1 species